rnacentral:rRNA from 1 species
AAUGAACGUUGGCGGCAUGGAUUAGGCAUGCAAGUCGAGCGAGAAGGGUUUUGAAGCUUGCUUUAGAACCCGGACAGCGGCGAAAGGGAGAGUAACGCGUAGUUAUGUGCCCUAGGGUCCGGAAUAGCCACGGGAAACUGUGGGUAAUGCCGGAUAACAUCCCCGGAUCAAAGGUGUGAUUCCGCCCUAGGAGCAGACUGCGUCCUACUAGCUAGUUGGUGGGGUAAUGGCCCACCAAGGCCAUGAUGGGUAGCGGGUGUGAGAGCAUGACCCGUCGGUCUGGGACUGGGACACGGCCCAGACACCUACGGGUGGCUGCAGUCGAGAAUCUUCGGCAAUGGGCGAAAGCCUGACCGAGCGAUGCCGCGUGCGGGAUGAAGGCCCUCGGGUUGUAAACCGCUGUCGUAGGGGAGGAAGGUUCCGUGAAGAGCGGAAUUUGACCUAUCCUAGGAGGAAUUACGGGUUAAGUUCGUGCCAGCAGCCGCCGUAACAC